ACAAUGAAGAGUUUGAUCCUGGCUCAGGAUGAACGCUAGCUACAGGCUUAACACAUGCAAGUCGAGGGGCAGCAUUUCAGUUUGCUUGCAAACUGGAGAUGGCGACCGGCGCACGGGUGAGUAACACGUAUCCAACCUGCCGAUAACUCGGGGAUAGCCUUUCGAAAGAAAGAUUAAUACCCGAUGGUAUAAUCAGACCGCAUGGUCUUGUUAUUAAAGAAUUUCGGUUAUCGAUGGGGAUGCGUUCCAUUAGGCAGUUGGUGAGGUAGCGGCUCACCAAACCUUCGAUGGAUAGGGGUUCUGAGAGGAAGGUCCCCCACAUUGGAACUGAGACACGGUCCAAACUCCUACGGGAGGCAGCAGUGAGGAAUAUUGGUCAAUGGGCGCAGGCCUGAACCAGCCAAGUAGCGUGAAGGAUGACUGCCCUAUGGGUUGUAAACUUCUUUUAUAUGGGAAUAAAGUUUUCCACGUGUGGAAUUUUGUAUGUACCAUAUGAAUAAGGAUCGGCUAACUCCGUGCCAGCAGCCGCGGUAAUACGGAGGAUCCGAGCGUUAUCCGGAUUUAUUGGGUUUAAAGGGAGCGUAGGUGGACAGUUAAGUCAGUUGUGAAAGUUUGCGGCUCAACCGUAAAAUUGCAGUUGAUACUGGCUGUCUUGAGUACAGUAGAGGUGGGCGGAAUUCGUGGUGUAGCGGUGAAAUGCUUAGAUAUCACGAAGAACUCCGAUUGCGAAGGCAGCUCACUGGACUGCAACUGACACUGAUGCUCGAAAGUGUGGGUAUCAAACAGGAUUAGAUACCCUGGUAGUCCACACAGUAAACGAUGAAUACUCGCUGUUUGCGAUAUACAGUAAGCGGCCAAGCGAAAGCAUUAAGUAUUCCACCUGGGGAGUACGCCGGCAACGGUGAAACUCAAAGGAAUUGACGGGGGCCCGCACAAGCGGAGGAACAUGUGGUUUAAUUCGAUGAUACGCGAGGAACCUUACCCGGGCUUAAAUUGCAUUUGAAUAAUCUGGAAACAGGUUAGCCGCAAGGCAAAUGUGAAGGUGCUGCAUGGUUGUCGUCAGCUCGUGCCGUGAGGUGUCGGCUUAAGUGCCAUAACGAGCGCAACCCUUAUCUUUAGUUACUAACAGGUCAUGCUGAGGACUCUAGAGAGACUGCCGUCGUAAGAUGUGAGGAAGGUGGGGAUGACGUCAAAUCAGCACGGCCCUUACGUCCGGGGCUACACACGUGUUACAAUGGGGGGUACAGAAGGCAGCUACCUGGUGACAGGAUGCUAAUCCCAAAAGCCUCUCUCAGUUCGGAUCGAAGUCUGCAACCCGACUUCGUGAAGCUGGAUUCGCUAGUAAUCGCGCAUCAGCCAUGGCGCGGUGAAUACGUUCCCGGGCCUUGUACACACCGCCCGUCAAGCCAUGAAAGCCGGGGGUACCUGAAGUACGUAACCGCAAGGAGCGUCCUAGGGUAAAACUGGUAAUUGGGGCUAAGUCGUAACAAGGUAGCCGUACCGGAAGGUGCGGCUGGAACACCUCCUUU
rnacentral:rRNA from 1 species